ensembl:lncRNA
GUCUGUCUCAUAUAAAUGUUCAUAUAUUGGAUUAAAAAAAAAGGGAAUUAUACUAGUUAGUUUUUUAGUUUUUAAAGUAGGGGUGCAUUUAAAUAUUUUUAACUUGCUUGAGUGAUAUUAUUUUGGUAGGGAAAAGCAUAAUCAUAGGUAUGUAUAGGUAAAAAGUCAAAGAUUUUAGUAUUACCUUAGUUUCAGAUUCCAUCUUUCAAUAAAUAAUUAUGUAAAAGUUAUUCUGAAUGAUUUUAAGAGUCUGAGUGUCUUUAUACAAAUUCUUUAUAAAUCACAACAGAAAAAUAUUCCUUUUGUUUUUUUUUUGCUUUGCGUUUUGUUUUUUGUUUUUUUUCUUUUGUUACAACAGAGAUAAAAGGUACUAAAAUGUCCGGCAAAAUAUUUGAUGGAUUGUGAAUAACUUAGCUUUAUAUUUGUUAGAUUUAAAUUAUUUUGCUUUGUAUUAGUUGUUUUGUCUGGUCUUGUCUUGUCUUGUUUUGUUUUGUUUUGUUACAGAGAUGAAAGGUACUAAAAUGCCCUGCAAAAUAAUUGAUGGAUUGUGAAUAACUUAGAAAAGUGAAGUGAAAAAAAGUGAAAGUCGUGACAUUUGUCAAGUAUGGUAACCCAUACUCGAAAUUGGUGCUCUGCAUUUAACCCAUCCAAGUGCACACACACAGCACAGUGGGCAGCUAUAUAUCCAGCACCCGGGUAGCAACUGGGGGUUCAGUGCCUUCAGCUUCAAGGGCACUUCAGCUAUGGGUAUUGAGGGUGGAAGAGAGCGCUGUUCAUUCACUCCCUCCCACCUACAACUCCAGCCAGCACCGAGACUCGAACCUGCAACCUUUUGGUUACAAGUCCAAUUCUCUAACCAUUAGGCCACAGCUGCCCCACUUAGCUUUAUAUUUAAGUUUUGUUUUUUGUUUUUUGUUUUUUGUUUUGUUUUGUUUUGUUUUGUUUUGUUUUGGCUAAAAUGCCCGGAUUCUGAAUAGCUUGGCUUUAUAUUUCUCUCACAAUGUCAAUAAUGUGCAUACAUGUUUCUUCCAUGUAUUGAUCCUUGUUAGCUCAUGUCGGUAUGAUAUUGUAUAUUAAUUUAUUGUUGAAUCAGGGUUGCUUUGGGAAACUUCUGUUUCAGGUAUUUUACCUAGUCAAAUCAGAGCACACAUGACCUGAUAAAAUCUGCUAAAUUCAUAAACCCCACCAAACAUGUUUAGAUCUUAG